rnacentral:lncRNA from 1 species
UUAACCAAAUACUUUCCCUAACUUAACCUCAUAAAACCAAACUUAAUGCCAGUAACUUCAUGAGUUAAAGUGAGAAACUUAUGAGAAAGUGCUGUAAGGAACUUUACACAGACAUUUGGGUUCAUAGAUUCACUUAUUUUAUUGUUUUAUUUUGGUUACAUUAUUGAGUUUCUUUCUGACCUGUUCCGGCUUUAACACUAGCUAUAUCUUUCCCACUGUGAGACUAAACAGAUGAUCUGAUCUUAAUGAGUGAGUUCUGUAUCAGUUCUGUGUUUUAGUGCACUGCUGAGUUAAACACCCCAUCAGCUCAUGAAAUAACAUCUCUGCAUGGAGGAGAUCUGUGGGACACACGUUAUCUUGUUUUUUGCGACGUCAAAGGAGAAAUCUCUCUCUAUCUCUCUCUCUCUCUCUCUCUCUCUCUCUCUCUCUCACUCUCACUCUCACCAGAGCGGAGCUGGUUACCUCUGGAGGGAUAGUGGAGGGGAAUUCAGUGACUCUGAGCUGCAGCAGUGAUGCAAACCCUCCUGUUCACUCCUACUCCUGGUUUAAUCAGAGAAAACCUGCAGACACACCACUGACUACAGACCAGAAUUACAGCAUCACCAGCAUCAGCUCACAGCACAUCGGAUUCUACUACUGCACUGCUCACAACCAGCUCGGACAUCACAGCUCAAAACCCAUUCAUCUGAAUGUGUUAUAUACAGAUAACUCAGUAAUGAAAUACGCAGUUUCUGGAGUUGCUGUGGUUCUGCUUCUUAUGAUCAUUGCUGGCUUUCUGUGGAUGAGGAAACGAUCUGGAGCUUCCAGCAGCAGAAGAGAAGAGAACAGAAGAACUCAUGUUGUGUAUGAGACCGUCUCAGACCUGGCCACAACCUCCACCCUGAGAACAACAGCAGCCUCAGAUGAUCAGGAUGGGGUUCAAUACUGCAGUGUUCAGUUCAAACGCUCUCACGCGGAGGAAGCUGCUCUGUACUCCACUGUCCAACACGGAAAAGCUCCUAAGCAGGAAGACGAGGUCGUGUACAGCAGAGUGAAAUCUGUUAAACCCUGAGCUCUAGACAAAACACUGCAUUCAUGAGAUUAUGCUGGUGUGGGUUAACGCUGGUUUUAAACAGGCACAAACAUUUUAGUGAUAAUUGCACCCCCUUGCUUUAGCGCAGUGUAUAAAUUCAUUUUCUUAAAACCAAAAAUAAGACCUUUUUGUGUCAGUGUAAAACUGGGAAUGUUUAUGUUACAAGUUAACCGAGGGCAGCAGUGAGAGGAAGUUCACUCAGGCAGGUUUUCAAGAGGGAGUGUCCCGUGCAGCAUUUAUUUUACUUUUUUUGUUCUUUCUUUUUUUUUUUUUAUUUUUUUUUUUAGAAAUGCAAUAUUUACAAUGCAUAAAAAAAAAAAAAAUAAAAUAAACAAAACUUCAAAAUAUAGAAAGAAA